CCUACGGGUGACAGCAGUAGGGAAUCUUCCACAAUGGGCGAAAGCCUGAUGGAGCAACGCCGCGUGGGUGAAGAAGGUCUUCGGAUCGUAAAACCCUGUUGUUAGAGAAGAAAGUGCGUGAGAGUAACUGUUCACGUUUCGACGGUAUCUAACCAGACAGCCCCGGCUAACUACGUGCCAGCAGCCGCGGUAAUACGUAGGUGGCAAGCGUUAUCCGGAUUUAUUGGGCGUAAAGGGAACGCAGGCGGUCUUUUAAGUCUGAUGUGAAAGCCUUCGGCUUAACCGGAGUAGUGCAUUGGAAACUGGGAGACGUGAGUGCAGAAGAGGAGAGUGGAACGCCAUGGGUAGCGGGGAAAUGCGUAGAUAUAUGGAAGAACACCAGGGGCGAAAGCGGCUCUCUGGUCUGUAACGGACGCGGAGGUUCGAAAGCGUGGGUAGCAAACAGGAUGAGAUACCCCUGUAGGC
rnacentral:rRNA from 1 species